rnacentral:misc_RNA from 1 species
GGAACCAGCACCUCCGGAUUGGCCCGGGACCGUGUAACCAAGUUUGAUUCCAUUAGCCUCAUUAGAUAAAUCAAAGACACCAUCUUGAAUUUUCUUGUAUAUUGCUCCAGCAGUCUUGACAAAAGCCUCCUCAACAUUCUGCGCGGUUUUUGCAGACGCCUCCAUAAAUAUCAGACCGUGCUCUUUUGCAAACUGCUCGCCUUCCUCAUA